GACGAACGCUGGCGGCGUGCUUAACACAUGCAAGUCGAACGGAAAGGCCCUGCUUUUGUGGGGUGCUCGAGUGGCGAACGGGUGAGUAACACGUGAGUAACCUGCCCUUGACUUUGGGAUAACUUCAGGAAACUGGGGCUAAUACCGGAUAGGAGCUCCUGCUGCAUGGUGGGGGUUGGAAAGUUUCGGCGGUUGGGGAUGGACUCGCGGCUUAUCAGCUUGUUGGUGGGGUAGUGGCUUACCAAGGCUUUGACGGGUAGCCGGCCUGAGAGGGUGACCGGGCACAAUGGGCCUACGGUACGGCCCAGACUCCUACGGGAGGCAGCAGUGGGGAAUAUUGCACAAUGGGCGGAAGCCUGAUGCAGCAACGCCGCGUGCGGGAUGACGGCCUUCGGGUUGUAAACCGCUUUCGCCUGUGACGAAGCGUGAGUGACGGUAAUGGGUAAAGAAGCACCGGCUAACUACGUG
rnacentral:rRNA from 1 species